rnacentral:snRNA from 18 species
CGAUUUGGGUAGCUGGAGGGGAUGAGAGCCUUCUCGGAGAUUCUUGAGAGAGCGACGCAAGAGUUCCUCGAUCUUGCGAUCCGCUGGGUCCUUGUAGUCGUCUUCCUUGUCGUCU